GGAGGUUCUCAGGUGAUGCACCCCGGAAUCAAGCUCCCUCCUCUCUGGUUCCAUGUGCGUCACCCGAGGACCACA
rfam:Myotis brandtii contig264916, whole genome shotgun sequence.